rnacentral:rRNA from 1 species
GACGAACGCUGGCGGCGUGCUUAACACAUGCAAGUCGAACGGAAAGGCCCUGCUUUUGUGGUGUGCUCGAGUGGCGAACGGGUGAGUAACACGUUAGUAACCUGCCCUUUACUUUGGUAUAACUUCAGGAAACUGGGGCUAAUACCGGAUAGGAGCUCCUGCUGCAUGGUGGGGGUUGGAAAGUUUCGGCGGUUGGGGAUGGACUCGCGGCUUAUCAGCUUGUUGGUGGGGUAGUGGCUUACCAAGGCUUUGACGGGUAGCCGGCCUGAGAGGGUGACCGGCCACAUUGGGACUGAGAUACGGCCCAGACUCCUACGGGAGGCAGCAGUGGGGAAUAUUGCACAAUGGGCGGAAGCCUGAUGCAGCAACGCCGCGUGCGGGAUGACGGCCUUCGGGUUGUAAACCGCUUUCGCCUGUGACGAAGCGUGAGUGACGGUAAUGGGUAAAGAAGCACCGGCUAACUACGUG